ACUUUUGCAUAGAAUUGUAUUCAUCAGAAAUAUAAUCAAUUAUAAAGAAAAAAUUGUAUAUUACUUAUAAAAAUACUAACUUUUUUCUGUAACAUUUAUUUUUUUUUUGAAUGUUUGAAAAUCUAAUUUCUUAUUAUAUUUCUUAGUAAUGUUAUUAACUUUCCCUGUAGCUAACUAGGCAUAGUUUAGCUGAAGAAAGAAAAAGAAAGUUGACCAAGCAAGAGGUUUGUAUCUGGGUGUGUGUGGGUGUGAGUGAGUGAGCAGUCAGAUAAGAAGCUCUCAGGACCAGAAAACACCAUGUUUAUUACCCUGACCAUGAGCAUCAACAUGCAGCACUGUGUGUUUACAGCUUUCAUUUAUUCAUUCUUUGUAACGGCCUGGCCAGGGCUUAAAUUGGUCUACUAGUUUGUUUACAUUUUGCGAAACAGACCCAGAGCUAAAUUCAUUAGAAAAUUUCACAGGUAGGUACAAACUAAAAUAAUAACAGUGUGAGCAGGACUUGAAAAAAUAAAACAGUCCCAUGCACGUCUAUAGUUGAGAGCUGAGACCAAUUAUGAACUGGAGUGAUGUAGCUGAGUUUGAGGAGCUGUCACAGACAGAAUUCCUCACCAUGACAAGAGUGCUAAUUGAACAUUUUCUUUCAGUUUCACAUUCUCUGAAGGAGCAGCUUUUCCAGUUGGUCACCCCUGGCCAAAGAACAUAUUUUAUUGAUUUUUGAAGUAAACACACCAGAUAAAGGGAUUAACAUUCUCCUAAACAUUUUCUUUCAGUUUCACAUCCACUGAAAGUGCAGCCUUCAGGGAAAGUAAGGCUUUAAAUUAAACACACCCGACAAUGUUUAAACAUUGAGCUCCCUAUGACUCAGGGCUGAGGCUUACCGGCAGAAAGGGAUUUAUGUAAAAGGACAAGUUCCUCAAGCACUCAAGCAGCACAUUCACACACUCAGAAGUAGAGUGAUGAACACAGCACACAGUGAGGAAACACACCACCAUCAACAAAGAGGAGGUAAAGGCCAUUCUGUCAUUUGUUCUCAGCUCCUAAAAUGAACCAAACACAAAAGAAAUUAGGAGAAGCACAACUUCACCAUUUGACACAAGUCACAAGAAAAUAAGAAAACAAAAUAAUCACACAAAAGAUGGGGUAAGCAAUCUCCAUCGACCAUUCUCAGUGAAAUUCCGCCCAAUUCUCGAUUUUUCUCAGGAAUUGAUUUAGCUAAUGUAUUUUUCUCCAUUCCAGAACAUUCUGAUAGCAGAUACUGGUUCUCCUUUUGUUUUAAGGGAAAAAGAUAUCAGUGGAAAAGUGAUGCCCCAAGGGUUCACUGACUUGCCUAAUGUCUUUUCUACUCGUCUUUGCAGAACCUCAAGGCCUUCCAUCCACCUGCAGGAAAUCAAGGUCAACAACUGGACCCUGACGGAGUUAAAUCUCUCAGAGAACUACCAAAACCAGUGACUAAAAAAAACAAGUGAUGUCACUUUUGGGAGUGAUGAACUACUGCAGGAUUUGGAUUCCAGAGCAUCCCAGACUAUUCAAAGCCUUUCUGCUGGUACGUUCAUGAGAAGAAUGAAUUUAUGUCAUCAGUUCUUACAGAGCAACAUGGGGAUAGACGACGCCCCUUGGCCUACUAGGCAUUUGGACCCUGUAAUCUGGAGUCAU